AUUACUGUAUAUUGCAACGCCUGGACAUACACAUGGUUUGGAUAUACUGAAGACAAAAGGAAUAAUAUAUGGGAAUGGAUAAGGCUGAUUUCCCCCUAUCCACAGCCACGCCUACUCCUAAAGUAACAUUGCGUACAUCCUUACUAUGCCCUUUUACUGUAGAAUUUCCCGAAUCCUAAUGACCAAUUCCACUACAUGGUGUGACUUGUUUAAGCCUAAGAUAAAUUGGCUGAUCAGGCUACCUGUAUUAACAAUGUCAUCAACGAUGAGUUAGCAUCUGUGGAGAAGUAUCACUUCAGGUUGUCCCAAAUUUUCUUUUAACUUAAGUUUUAGUACAUAGUAAGGCCCAUGCCCAAUAACUAUAUGCAGCCUUGUAUAGCAGGCCACAUGACAUCUAUUUGUACCAAGCAAGGCCUGCCUGACUCCUCAUUCCUGUCUAACAUUGUUGUCUCCUGCAUAAGUGUAGAUGGCUCUCCUUGGAGUAGCCUGUUAACUAAGCCUUGCUUUGUGGUUACCUUCACCUGUCCAAUUAAUCUGCUAGGUGCAGAUGUCCUUCCCCCACUUGCAGGCCCCUAUCACCUUAUUAUUUAUUUUGUUCCACACAGUGAAACCUGACCAAGAGGCAAGGGUCCUAGCUAGUUCCCCC